rnacentral:rRNA from 1 species
CAGUCGCCGCGGGAAUACGAAGGGUGCAAGCGUUAAUCGGAAUUACUGGGCGUAAAGGGAGCGUAGGCGGAUCGUUAAGUUGGGGGUGAAAGCCCGGGGCUCAACCUCGGAACUGCCUUCAAUACUGGCGAUCUUGAGUAUGAGAGAGGUGUGUGGAACUCCGAGUGUAGAGGCGAAAUUCGUAGAUAUUCGGAAGAACACCAGUGGCGAAGGCGACACACUGGCUCAUUACCGACGCUGAGGCUCGAAAGCGUGGGGAGCAAACAGGAUUAGAUACCCCCGUAGUCCCUGUCUCUUAUAC